UCGGCCGCGGCGCGCGGCUCCUACAGCGCCUUCUGCAAGGGGCUCACGCGCACACUGCUCACCUUCUUCGACCUGGCCUGGCGGCUGCGCAUGAACUUCCCCUACGUCUACGUCUUGGCCUCGGUGAUGCUCAACGUGCGCCUGCAGGUGCGGAUCGAGUGAGCGCCCGCCGCCACCGCCGCCGGGCCACGACAGCAGGGGCGCGGGCAUGAGGGACGGCGGGGCCAGGGGCCACCUAGACGGGCGGGAAGGAAUCGAGACCGCUCGGGCCCCCGGGCCUUAGACCUCCGCGGAGGACACGGCCACCGAGCUCGGACCUGGCGGCGACCCGCCCACCCACGUCGCGGCUGGAGCCGCGGCGCACAGAAACCCGCGAAACGGGCCCUUUGCAUUGGCCUCGACCUGUUGCCUCCCCUUGGCCGAAGAGGAAAGCAGAAGGAAGACAUUCUUCAGCCGGAAAGUGAAAGACUGGCCCGGACCCAAAAGGUAGGAGGCCAGAGCUGCCGAAGCAAGUGCAGGCAGGACGGACGGAGGCUCUCCAGCCUCCCUUGUCAUGACCCCAAGAUGGGGAUGAGGGCGGCCUGGGCAUCUCGGAGGGUCAGCUCAUCACCCACGGAGGCGCUGGCCAUCUCUCGCGCCCACAGCCCGGGUGGUGUCCCUGAACAUGGGGGAGUGGAGGGAGGGGGUGGGGAGGCAGGCAGAAGGCCCCCGCGGAGAGAAGAAAGAUGCUGCCGCCCGUCUCCUCCACCCCCUGGGAGGCCGCCUGGAAGGAUGGCUGUGUUCUUGGCCAAACCCCAAGUCUGUCUCCUUCUCAGCUUUUCACAAAGCUGCCUCCUGCCUGGCCUCUGGGGCCAGAGGACUGCCCUCUGCCUGCUCCUGCUGUCCCUGUCGCUCGCCUCCCUGCUCCCCGAGGGCGUCCUGCAAAGCGGGCAUCCGGGGACAGGGAGGAGUGGGAAAGACGCUUCCUCCUUCCCUGCAUGGCCUCUGGCAGCCCCCGUGUCCCGAAGGAUUUGAGCGGAGGGCAGCUCUCGGGCUGGGGUGGAAGAGCAGGUGGGGAAGAGGCUUGUAGAGGAGGCGACACUUGGGGACACAGGGACCUCUCUGAAUGGGGAGGCAGCUCUCAAGUCAGCGUUUCUUUCUUUCAGGACCUGGUGUUACAGGAGGUGACCCGCUCCUUCUCUGGUCUCCUCAAGGGAGGCAAGGUGGGCCCAGAGCUGCCUGGGGAGCAGCCAAGAGAAGGGCCCGACCCAGGAGGAGAGGAAGGGCCUUCCAGGCAGAGACCCUGAGAGCCGGGCUGGCCCAGUGGUCUGGUUCUGGCGAGAGGAAGGAAGGACGGACCUAGGACGCUGUGGGGGAGCUCUGUCCUCCUCAGCCACUGACUGGGGACACUGGGGCUCCCGGAGGGGGGGGAUUGGCCCUUGUCACACAGAUAAGAAGCAAUGGAGCUGAAUCUGCCUUUGGCCUGCACCCCCACCCCACCCCCGAGUCUUCCGGAAGACCUGGCACUGUGGGAUGGGGGAGGGGAGCCCAGGCUCCCUGGGGACUCGGGGGGAGGGCAUGGGAAGGUGGGAAACUAGCUCUCCUUGGGGUGUGUGGGAGGUCACAGGGAAGACCAGGGGACUGAGCUGAGAGGGGCCCGGGAGAGACGGGUCCCAGAAGCCCCUGGGGGCCGAGGGCCUCUCCCACAGAGCUGGGCCUCCCCCCCCUCCCCAGGCUUGACCCAGGGCCGCUCAGGUGAUGAAGACAAGCCUGUCCAUUUGGGGGAUGGGGUGAGGAGGCUGGGGGUGUUGGGUGGCUCCGGAGACAUGAUGUGACCAGGGGGGGAAGGCUGAGCCUGGGUGGGAUGGGGCCGAGAGCCACGCGAGACCCCACCUCCCUGUCCCCAGGCUGGCCCACCUGCCCAGGUUUGCCUGGGAGAAUCUCCGCUAGCGGGGCACCCGUGGUCCUGGAGGCCCGGCCAUGCUGUUGACUGGCACCCUGGGAGCGGCGCAGAGGGGGAGCCGGGAGAGCCCCUGGUCCUCCCCCCACCCCCCGGUCCCACACGUGUCCCCACACCGGUUGCUCGUGGUCCACGUCCUCAGAAUUCCUGGGACUGAAAACCUCAGCCUGGUCGCCCCAGGGACGGGGUGGCCGAGCCUCACGCCAUCUGCCCCCCUCAGCCACCCAGCUGGAGCCCGGGUCCCGGGUCCCGGGUCCCGGGUCCCGGGUGAAGAUCUCUGCCGGCCUCACUGGGGCCUGAGGCCACCUGUAGCCCCCCACACCCCUCGCAGACUGUCACAGAGCGGGCCCGAUGGCUUCCUGCCUUGUGCCACGUCGCCUGGGAGCCCCUGGUCCUGGUGGCCACUCCUCCACCCCAAGCUCGCCCACCCGGGGCCACUUCUGGGAGCCUGAGGACUGCGUGCGUGGAUCUCUGGGGCAGCCUCCGAGAGACGGUGCCACAGGGCUGCAUGGGAGGUGAGGAGCCGAGGAUGAGGGGCCCCUUGGGGCUGAUGACGCGGAUGUGGCCCUUUCAAUCCCAGGUCUCUCCCUCUGGGGGUUUGAUCCCCAGCUCCAGCCUCUUCCCGGGCCAGCCAGGCGGGGCGGACAGAGGGCCUGAGAAGGGCCCGGGGCAGGCUCUUCCCUGAACGAGGCUGGGAGUUGGAGGGUGGCUCCGGCUGGGGCUUCUGGGCGCAAAGGGAUUGGCCGUGGAUGGGGCCCGGGGGCACGUCCUUAGCUUGUGUUCCUGCCCCUGCUUUUCUUACCAGCCUGGCCUUGCGUCGUUAGCCGCUUCUGCCCUCCCACCUCUGCCUUGUCACCCGCACAGGGCUCUUGCUGCUUCGAGGGCUCCCAAUGCACUUUAUUUAUUUGCAGUCUGUUUUUCAGGCAGCGGAGCGUCUAGAAAGUCGGGCAUCGACUUGAGUAAGACGACUUUCACUUUUCUGUGUGUGCCGAACUCUGCACCGGUCAGCACAGUCUGGUCAGAGCAACGUUCUUGUGUCGUCAAAUCUUGGCGUCUGUCUAAGAUACGAAAAAAGCCCCAUGAGUUCAAUAAAAUGAAAAGAAAUCU
rnacentral:lncRNA from 1 species